rnacentral:lncRNA from 1 species
UGUCACUCUGGCUCUUGUAUCCAAUCACAGUGAGCACAGUGAUGUACAAGAACAAAAGCGUAGCGAUGAACUCGGCAAUGAUGGCUCUGUAAAAAGACCAUUUUCCAAACUCCUCCGGAUCGAUCAAUGGUGUUGGGGGUGGGUCGUGGUAGUCCUUGGCAGCAAAACCACCUACUUCAAUGUCCUUGGCCAUGGCUACAAGCUAGCUGAAGCAGAACUAGAGAGAUGAUCGAAGAGAGACACAAGUGAGUGUUUUGUGUGCUUAGAAAGAGACUGGUAGCUAGUGUUGGUGAUGAGAAACUGAGAUAGAGUAGAGAGUUGAUGAGUUUAUAUGGGGCGCUUUUGGAGUGAGAUCGAGUGAAAGUGGCGUGGGAAUAUUAAACUUUUGCACUUAGCCGUCCAUGGCUUCUAGGUCACAAAUUUUCGUUGCCCUUUCUCUUUCAAUGACCCACCUUGUCUAAUUUAUGCUCUAGUAGUUUCUACACCAAAAAAUGAAACACGAGAAUAUUGAUCUGGAGUGAGGAUUUCAGAACCACUAUUUGAGUGACACGUGCCCCUAGAUCGUUGCCGGACUCCGGCGCCGAAAUGUUUGACAGGUCAAAAGCUCGCAGGAAAAUUGUGAGAGGAUGGUGAAAAAUGGGCGAGCUGAGCAUGCAAACCGACCAAUCAUCACCACCGCCCCAUCCAAGUUCCAACUCAGAAACACAUCACCCUCCCAACCACUCAAUCUAGCUGCUUUAGAUCAAUCACUUGAAUGGAAUGUUGUGGCCUAAUCAACAUUAUCCCUGUGCUAUAAUAAACCAGAAAAGACGAACAGAUUCCAGCCUAAAAUUGCAAGGAAAAAGAUUAGGGCUGUUGACAAGUCACGAGUAAUACAUGCAAAUGGAAUCAUCCAGACCUGUGGUGGGGUUUUUGUUGAAGGUUGGAUGGAAGCUUCAUGAUGUAUUGAUGUCCAUGAUUUAAGAAGAAAUGGGAAGGUGGAAAAAAAAACAAAAGAAAAAGAACUACGUACAGAACCCUCGAGUUCGAUCACCUUCUCUAGAAUCUUCUCUCUAUAUAUGCAACAUUGAUCAUAUUGGCCUAUUGGGUCUGUGUUUUGAUCAUAUUGCAAAUCCAGGGUUGAUGUUCUCAGUUUGCAAUCUUAAACAAUAUAAUUAACAGGGUAUUUAAUCUACAACUCCAACAACUUGUUCAAAAUUUAUUUAAAAUAAGGAAGCAAAAGUUAAAAUUUCUAAAAAAAUUAUGCUUAAACUCCAACAGCUGCUCUAUUUUAGAGAUUUCGAUAUUUAUUACAACAAUAAAAUAGACUACAUAAUUAUUAAUUAUAAUAAAAAAAUUAUUUUGAUUAAGGAACGCUUUGCUGCAAAUUUAGAGAAUGAAUCAUUCUCUUUUUUCUCCAUCCUUAUCCUCAUUUUAGGAAAUGAGAUAGGAAAACUGUUAGACCUUAAAAAAUAAAAAUGCUCAAUAUUCCCCAAAUUUAAGAAAAUAGAAAAAAUAGGAAAGUUGUCAAAAUACUCUAAAACAAUAGAUGAGUGUAUGUGGAUCGUAAGAUAAGGAGUUAAAUAUUUCAGAAGUGAUUAAAUAAAUCCUCAUAUUCCACUCAAGCUAAGUUUGAUCAACGAGACUCCCAUUUAAGUCUAACUUGAUGAUAGUACAAUAGUACAUGAUUAAGAUGGCAAUACUAACGCCCUUUUCCUAGUAGCCGAUUGAAAGGAAAUGGCAAAACAACGGUCUUUCAAUACUGACAUUCUAGAGAAACUUAAUUGGGAGCUCUAUCCAUACCAGGAGCGGCUGUUGUUGAGAUAUCAAUCAUACAUCGGAAAUAUGGGACCUUGCUUGUGCGUUAAUAAAGGUUUGGGACACUUCAUCCAUUGUCAACUGGUUUUAGAUGUGAACCCUAGACUACUUUAUCAACUGUGACUUGUGAGGUAAACUUCACAAAAGUAAACUGCCAUAAACUUUUUGAUGAUGUUUUGGCCACGAUCUUCAGCAGGGGUAGAGAGGUAACUUAGUAGGUCCAAAUGUAAAAAGAGAGGAUGUAGGGCGUGCCACCGCGCGGAUGCAGAAUGUAAAGUGCGCUGGUACUAGACUUCUAAUCAAACGACUUGGGCUUCCGGUGCCACCUUGCGGACGAGGGAUUACAAUCAAUCCUCCUAUUCGUUUGCAAUCGAUACUCGGCUGGCAAGCAGAGCAACAAUUAGAACAGUAAACAAGGCAAGACCAAACUGGCUCUGUAAGGCUAAGGCGAGGUGCUUUAGCGUCUGGGUUUCGAGUGAAUCAAAGGUUUGUAAUUUGUUGUAUGAGAUGAUUGUGUGUUUGGAGUGAUCCUCGAACCCUCCUUAUAUAGGGGCUCGUAACUAACUGAUAAGGAUGCAAUCCCACAACAUAAGUAGGAUUCUACUACCAAUAGUUGUACAAGGAUUCAUUUUGCUUGCAAACUAAGUAACUGGGUGACGCGUGUCCAAUUACAUAGGUAGACUUCACUUAGGUCACAGGUACUGACCCUUCGCUUAUCGAAAUCGAAAGCUUCUCAGUCUCUCCGACGCGAACUCAAACACUGAAGACUUCCUAAUCCCGCAAGGUGUUACAGUUCGCAUAGGAACCCACCUUGCGUGUCUCCAGAGUUCACGCCCUCAACAAGCUUUAUUUUUAUUUUAGGGCCACAUGUACUAGCCCAAAUAUUAUCCGAGAUUUUACUAAUUUAGUCUUGAACCAAAAUAUCAACUGGGGUCAAACAGAUGAAGGGAAACUUAAUCUACUUCAUCGCAGAGGCCGCAAUGGCUGGAUCCAGCACAAGCUUAACCUUCCACGAUUCUCCAUUGAAACAAUCAAAUUUGGUGCUUAUAGCAAAGUAGGAGAAUUCUUCUUUUCUGACCAUGGUGAUAACAUGCUCAAGUUAUUAGUUACACCCAACGGAUAAAUUUGCUGGAAGUAUCGUAAAGUAGUCUAUACGAAUGACAAUUCACCAGGAACUUUUUAUUUUCAUAGAAGCACAUAGUUCAAGAAAGCUGACAUGAUGAACAAGCUGGGGUUGGUAGAUCUUCUUGAGGAUGUUUCAUUUUCUGUUUGUGGAACUCAAACGGAGCGUCAUGGUAUAGACGAUUUCAUUUAUAGUGAGAUCUAUGAGAAAAUCACUAAUCAUGAUCGAUGAAGAAUCCAAGAGCCAGAGGAAAUUCAAGGGGUAUGGAUCAAACCCAACAUUCUAUCAAAUCUCUCCAAACAAGCAGAAUUGGUAACUUAGUAUGAGCGCUUUGGUUAUUAAUAUUGUAGUAACUUUGAUCGACUCUCAUACUUCGAUUCAUUUUAGGUUUUCUAGGGUUCUUUUCUUUUAAUCCUGAACUUCUUUUGGAUUGAACUCAUGCUAACAAGUAACAACCAGAAUCAGAAGUUGUGUUGAUCGAUCGACCAACAUUUAUCAUCUUUUUUUACCAUGAUAUAAAUGAGAAGUUGGUAGUUUCUAAAGUUUGCACCACAUGCAGAGACGGAACAUAGUACUGGGUUCUCUGGGCUGUAGCCCAGCAGAGACUUUUUUGGUUGUUUAAAAAUAGUUUAGGGUAUGUAUUUAUAAAAUAAGCAUAUAUAGGGAGAGUAGCCCAUAUAAAAAAAAUUAAAUAUGUAGAGAUAUGGACAGAAAAUAAAAUAAAAAAAUCUUCCUAAAUCUACUCUACUCCUACACGGCACCACAACUCCACAUAUCCUUUAUUAAAAAAAAAUAAUCAUUCACCUAAUUACCUUCAUCAACUCCAAGUCUUCCUUUCCUUGUUCUCCGACCAAAAAAAGAGCUCUCCCCCCCCUGUGGCCCUAUCGAAGAAAAACUCUCCGUCUCUCUUGACUCAAAAAAGAGUCUCUCGUACGGAAAAAAAGACAGUAUUUUUGAUCAAUAUUAUUAGGAAUCAAGAGGUAUGUUACUAUUUUUUUUAGAUUCUUACAUCUAAAUUCAAACUUUAAUUCUAAGAUUAUAUUAACUAUUAAAUUUCUGAAUUUGGGGAUAUGAAUACAAUUAUUUUCUGAAUUUGGAUUUUUGUAUAAAUAUUGAAUCAAUUUUGCUCUUUUAGACCCAAAAAGAUUGAAGACUAUAUUGUCGUUUUUCUGAAAGAACGCUAACUCUUCAAGAGACGAGUCUACAAACUCAAACCCUUCAUCAGAAUAUUACUAGUCUUUCAGAAUUAUAUGUGAAAUUGGUUGAAACAAGAUUAGCAGAAGACACCCACUUGAUUCAUAGAUUGCUUUGUUUGGUAUUAACUCUUCCUGUCUCUACGGCAUCGACGAAAUGAGCAUUUUUAGCUUUGAGAAUUAUUAAAAAUCGACUUCGGAGCAAGAUAGAAGAAGAGUUUCUUGAUCAUUGCAUGUUGGUUCAUAUCGAAAGACAAUUUGCUGAUAGUAUUAACAAUGAGUCAAUUAUUGAUGAAUUUGCUACAAAAACUCGUAGAGUUCAGCUUAAAAUUAGGUAGUCAGAUUGAGUUUUUUAUAUAUGUAUGGAUUCUACUUAAUCUAAUGAUCUAAUUUUUAGCCUUCAAAAAAAUGAUCCAAUUUUUAUACAUUUUGAAUUUUUUAUCUAAGAAAAAUUUAACCCAGAUAGUUUUGGAAUCCCGGUUUCGUCCCUGACCACAUGAUCUCCCUUUCGUAGUUUCGUGGAAGCCUAUUUUGCGAAGAAGCCGAAGAUUGCAAAAUACUACUGGUGAUCCAGAAUGAACUUCACAAGAGCCAUUAAAAUUGGAAACACCGGUGAGAAUGUACAUGACUAUUUGUACAGAACAAGACUAGAUAUACAGCAAACGCCAAAGUUGCAGCAAUUUAAACAUAUUGCAGGAUUCUUAAUCCGAAAUAUCGAAGGGCUUGUCUUGUGGCAAUAAGAAUAUUGAACGUACGUUUGAGAUGCUGCUUGGCCAUCUUUUGCGUGGCAUUUAGCAGAGAGCAAAAUAUUGACGAAAAAAUGUAUCAGUUAUUGCAAUCAUUAAUAUGGAAUCUUAUGCGCAAUAGUGAUUACAUCUACAAUAAGAGCAAGGAAAGGGAUCAAACUCAAGUCUCAUCGUCCACAAAAAAUUCAAGGUAGUACUUGGUAUGUCCAAUCCAACGCCACAACCUACUACAAACUCCUCACAAAAGCCAACAAAAGAAGAAAGAAAUAGCAAAAGUAGGACAUUAAGUUAUAAUCGAUCUCGGUGCUCCUGCAAGUCAUAAUCCUGUAUUUCAUGUUCCGAUUCUUCUUCUAUCGUCUCCAAUUUAGGAGAAGUUGAAGUCUUGCUGGGAUAUCUCGGAAGGGAAGAUGCAGCUUCAAUCAAAGAACCCAGGAACCUCACUUCCUUCGUCAUCGAUCGCAAUCAAAUGGUUGAAGCUUGUUUCCUAACUUGGACAAGCAAAGCUAUUGGAAGAUGGAGUAGUGGUGACUAUUUAGUUUGCCUCGAGAAAGAAAAAGAUGCUUAAAGAAGUCAAUAGUUGCAGAUUCGUGUUAUGGAGGUUUCUAGUAAUAAUGAGUAAGAGAGUGAGUUGAAGGGAAAGUUGGGGAAGAUGCCUUUUUAUAGAAGGUUCAGGGGUUGGGCCGUUGGGGUAAUAGUUAUAUCAGCGGAUGGAAAUGCACCAGAAAUUGCAGAAAGUAUCUACCACUAAAGUUUCAACUUUGAAUCCACGUGAGGAACAUGGGAAAUGUGAUAACAAUUGUAACAGAGUGAUCUAUGAUUACCGAUUUUAACCUUAUGGUGUGUUGAAUCCAGUCAGCAAAGCAAUAUCCUAAUUUGACAGACACGUAUCGAUGUUGAUUUGACUGUCAAAGAAUUUGUAAUCGUUGAUCAUCAAGCAAUCAAUACUGGGUGAAUCAGUAAUAGACAGAGCUAUGAAGAGACCAAGGGGGCAUGGGAAAUGUGAUACCAAUUGUAACAGAGUUUGAUCUAUGAUUACCAAUUUUAAGUCAGCAAAGCAAUAUUCCUAAUUUGUACAUACACAUAUCGAUGUUGAUUUGACCGUCGAAGAAUUUGUUGUCAUUGAUCAUCAAGCAAUGCUUAGGGAAUCACGGUAAUGGACAGAGCUAUGAAGAGAUGAAGAGUGACAUCCCUCCCCAUCGUUAGUCUGAUUUGUUGUAGUUAAAAGCAAUAAUCAUGUUAUUAGAUACUUAUUCAAGCGCAAACAAAAAACUCUAAAGGUGAAAGCAGCUGCACCAAACACUCGACCCUCGUUGAGGAUCUAAUCUUCAACCCCUCAUGUCUCCUCUUCACCAUGUCCUCCCUCCUUCAUUGAUGAUGUUACCAAAUCCUUCGCGACAUCGUUGGCUCUUACUAGUCUGGAUGUCAUUGAUCUCUCAAAGUUUUAAAAAAGCUCUCAACAAAAGAAAACACUGCAAUAAUCCUUUCUCUUUGCAAAGCCGUUGUGCACCUCCUCUAUGAUUGUUGCCGACCUACGGCGUUUCUUCAAAAGGUCUUGAACCCUAGAGAAGAAUUUUCAGGUGCAUCAGCGAUCACCGGAACUGUUUACCAUUGAUUUGAUCGCAACAAUGUGCUCCCAGGAGGACCAUGGUGGUAUGACAAGGCACCAAUUUUUCUUCAGAUAUAUGAUGGUAUCACUCCGAUCGAGCAGGUAAAAAUGAUCUCUCUUUUUUUUUGGGUGAAUAUUACAAAGAUCCCUCCUCGCUUUGAAGAACCGGAUUGGAUGUGUUAUGUUGCAUCAGUUGUUGGUACGUUUAAGUGCCCAGAUGACAAACUCUUUGAUGCUACUGGUGAAAUUAGGGUCAUGUAGAAUAUGAACUCUCUGCAUCCUUUUAUCCGUAAAAGACUCUUCAUUUAAGAAAAGAACCGUCAUGGAUCGCAAAACAGAAUGAAACAGAAACCCAAUCCAUUUUGACAGAAUAAAACAGAAAAGUAAAAAUUUCCAAGAAAAUUAAAAUUUGCGAGAAAUAUGUUUGUAAAUUGGAACUAAACCUUCAUGCUAGAUAACAGAAAAUGAAUCGAUUUUUUAUGGAUACAAAUUUCAUUUUUUUUGACAUGAAAAUCAUAUUGCAAGUGCAUAUAUAGUUUCUACAUGAUACCUCGCCAUAAAUGCAUAAAGAAGAGCAAUGAUUUAUUAUCUGUCAAUAUUUGCAAACACAUCAGAAUAGAACCUUAAAUAGGAUAUUGGAGCAAAUUAAAUAGAAAUCAUUUUAACUUUGUUUUAAAAUGUAGUCAUUGUACAGGACUGCAUUCGUAAUGUAAUGUCUAACCCUUUUUUUUUUGGUCAUGAAAUCUGGAUUCUGUUUGUAUUAAUCUGAUCUGUUUGUGUUGAUAAAUUUUUUGUGUUACUUGAUCAGUCUUACUGAGCACAAUCCAUUUCCAAUUUCAACAGCCUCAAAAUCCUGAAAUUGUAAACAAACUUACGGUUUAAUGUCUGCAACCUAUACCUGAACUCAUUUACACCUUUAACUUAAAUCAGAACUCUAAACUUGUUGACGUCAGAGAAGAUACCUCAACUUUCUAUUACAAUGAAUUAAGCAAAAAUAGAAACAAAAGGACAUUGUAUCUUUACCAAAUUGAAACUCAAUGCUUCACCUCAAUUAAUUCAACACUUGUAAGAAAGUGGGAAGCAAUUUCUGUUUAUUCCAUUGACAAAAGAGGUAAAAUCCAACAACAUCAAGAACGACAAAUUUUCUUGAUUUAGAGUGAAACUUUCUUUGUUAUACAUCUACUUACUGACGGCCUAAUGAUAUCCUUCAGAGGAAAAUCAUAUCAAAAACAAAACAGAAGCUCAAUCCCUUUCAACAACCUUCUACACUAUCACUGAAAAACUUAAAAGUUGACACAAACUUGAAGUUUUUAAACUUUAGACAGAAGGAAAAUAAAAUAUCAAUUGGCGCCGGACUUCUGAUCAUGGUCUUCUGCCUCCAGCUCCCACUCUUCAGUAAUCGUCUCCAGUUCAGGAGAAGCCGACGUCUUGUUGGGACGUAUCAGAAGGGCAGGCGCUACUUCAAUCCAAGAAACCAAGAAUCUCAUCCUCUCUGCCAUUGCAAUCGAACAAUCAAAUCCCUUGUUAACUGCUCUCCCCGGCUUCAAAAGUAAUGAAACGAGCAACUCUGUAUUCUUCGCUCUCAGCUAAUGAAGGAACUCAAAGGAAGCAACGAUGAGGAAAGAAGCACUAGCUUCUUGAGUCUAAAGAGAAGGGAUGUCUGAAAUGGUGGCCUGGGAAUCGGAAGCAAAUUGAUUUGGUGAUUUCUCUUGUUGGUGAAGAUUGUUAUUUAUAAAGGCUUAGUAACUAUGCUGUCGGUGAGAACUGACAAGUGUGAAGGAAACUACGCCAUAAGGGUAGCCAUCACCUACAGUUGCCAAGCAUGCGAAGAACAUGAGAGAAAUGUGAAAAGCAAUUCUGCACAUUUUGUCUUUGGCAUGAUUGCAUGUAUAGUAAUUUUUCGUAUUAAACGCUAAUAAAUUACUUAGUCACGUUCCAAAUUGAAAUAAAGUUGAAUGACUCUGCAUUCAGAAGGGUUGAUGAAGUUGAUAGUUGAUGAAGAUGGUUUAGCAAGAGGAUUAGUAAAGAUGUAACUGGUUGGGAAAAUUGUCUAGGACGAACAAUCAUCUGGUACUCAUUUAUCGUAAAUCUAUUUACAGAUAUCGACACAGAAACUAAUUACAAAUUUACAAUGAAGUGAUAAAUUCAUCGGAAGAACUUCCAAUUCAUCUGUUAAAAGCGCUCAACUGAAGCCUGCAUCCAUCUGUGAACCACGGCAAUUCCCUUUCAUACGAAACGGAGGCUUUCGAGAUGAAUCCAUCCAAACAGUCUUUAAGAAUGUGCAUCAGAUCCAUAUUCGAAGAUGGCAAGAAGGCCAUUUGAAAAUCUAUGGCUCAUCAUCACAUUCCUCAACACUUUCCUCAAGAAUCGUCUCUAAACCAGGAAUAUUCGAAGUCUUUUGUGGGUAAGUAAAAGGGGCUGGAGCAACCUCCAUCCAUGCAUCCAGAUUUCUAAUGUCCUUUGCCAUUGAAGCAAUAUAAAAGUUGAAAAACAAGUUACGAAUUCUGACCCCAAACGAGUUCGGAAACUGAGGCCUCGGACUCUCUUCCCCCUUAGAAACAAGAAAGAAGAGAGAUCAACAGGGUUUCUUUUGUGUCUAUUGUAAGAGAACACAAGGUAAUCCCUACAUCGGUAGAAAUGUGGAGGCCUUUAUAUAGUAGAGAAGGGUAGGUCAGAAUGGGACAUUACCUAAAAAGAGACUUUGGGAGACUAUUGGCAAUCCGCAACCCUUGUACCUGAAUAUAGGCCCAACAUUCCCAAUUCCUUUGCAACAGGUAUAGGCCACAGAAUGAAGAUGAAACGUGCAAGGAAUGCAAGAAGCCUCCACAUUUCUGUGCCAAGAAAGACAGCUUCUAGAAAGUGCAAAACCCAUUGAACAUUACCUCACAUUUCUGGCGCCAAAUUUAUCAUAUUUAUUUUCUACCUCUAGCUUCUGUGCCAAGGAAGACAGCUUCUGGAAAGUGCAAAACCCAUUGAACAUCACCUCACAUUUCUGGCGCCAAAUUUAUCAUAUUCAUUUUCUACCUCUAACUUCUGUGCCAAGAAGGAAAGCUUCUAGAAAGUGCAAAACCUAUGGAACAUCACCUCACCCGCCGCUACAGUUUAUAACCAUUGCAUACCAUGGAUAUGUAUACAGUAUAUCUAAGAAUCAUCUGGCAAUUGGCAACUCUGACAAAGCAUAAUGGAUAGCAGUGAAGUGUUCUAAAAGCCUACAAUCAUUUCACAAAACUAUGGCUUAGGAUGGCACAAGAAACACUUAAAGCUCUAACAGUCAAUUUAGGAUCACAACUAUCCAGCAUAUCAAAGUCUCAACUCCAAUGUAUCCAGCAACAAAAAAGAUUAUUCACUUUGCUUCUGCCAUUUGUUGCAACUAACUACAACUCGGAUUAGUAAUAAAUGAGUCCAUCAUAGCCAGGAAGACGCAAUUGAUGCCCUACUUACCACAUAACAGAGGAAAACAAAUGAAGCACAAUACCACUCCAUCAUAGCCAGGAAGACGCAAUUGAUGCCCUACUUACCACAUAACAGAGGAAAACAAAUGAAGCACAAUACCACUGAGCAUAUAAAACCCCCCUAUCAGUUGACUCAAUAAAAAAAGGUGCUAGUUUUCUAGGAUACCAACUUGUUAAUUCACAUGUCUUAUUAGCUCCAAGCCUGAGAUUCAGACACAACUCGUGUUUAGAGAUAAACAAACUACGACUCAAAUUCACUUCUUUGUGAAUCCAUGUUGUCAGACUCCAAUCUCCCCUUAUUGCUUCACCUCUAAUUUCCCUAAUCCCCUCAACCACCUAGUUCCUAGAAUAAUGGUACCCAACUACGAAAUAAACAAGAGAAGCACAUAACACCAUCCAAACACUAGAACCAAAUUGUAUUGGCAUACCAAAGUCACUAAACAAACACUAAUCACUCUCAACCAAACAAACACUAAUCACUCUCAACCAAACAAACACUAAUCACUCUCAACCACCAAGUGUGAAACAAAUAAUAUAGCAUCAUCAACCACCUAAGCCAAGCCCCCCCAAAACAUUAGUUAAACAAAUCAAUAAACACAACUCAUGUGCCAUGUGCAUAAGCAAAUGCAGUUCAGAUUAAACAUAAAAAUGUACUGUUGAAACAUCAUUUCCAGCCAAAUCCAAACAUUCGCUCUAAAAAAGCUACAUUUGCUAUUAGAUUCAAUAACACAAAACCAAGCACACAUUAAUCUUCAUAAAUACCAAAACUGGCCUCAAUACCAAACUUAAAAACGACCUCAGUCCAGAGGAACCUCAACGUCUCCGUCGGUGAUCUCCUGCUGCAAGUCCUUGGGGUCCUUCCCAUCCACAGUACACCCAACCGAAACACAAGUCCCGAGGAUCUCCUUCACAGUGCCGCUCAGGUCCUUCGCCAUAGACCUGUUCUUCAUGAUCUUCGCGAUCUCGAUCACAUCAUCAAGGCUGAUGUUGCCGGUGUGCUUGAUGUUCUUUGUCUUCUUCCGGUCGCGCUCGGGCUCCUUGAGGGCCUUGAUGACCAGAGCAGCGGCGGAAGGGACGACGGAGACCUUGGCCUGACGGUUCUGGACGGUGAGCUUGACGGUGACGCGGAGG